rnacentral:rRNA from 1 species
AACGAACGCUGGCGGCAGGCCUAACACAUGCAAGUCGAACGGGUGCCUUCGGGCACUAGUGGCGGACGGGUGAGUAACGCGUGGGAGCGUACCCUUUGGUUCGGAAUAGCCCUGGGAAACUGGGAGUAAUACCGGAUACGGUCGAGAGACGAAAGAUUUAUCGCCGAAGGAUCGGCCCGCGUUGGAUUAGGUAGUUGGUG